UUCGGCUUUUCCCGAAUUUCCCGGUUCAGCCUCCCCCAAGAGGAUCUUUGGGAGCGGGGAAGCUCGGCUGGGCUGCUCUAGGUGGCAGCAGCCUCCUUCCCUUUCCCGAGCCAUUCCCCGCUCUUCAUCCACCUCCCCACCCCUCCUCCUCCUCGUCCUCCAUCUCCCUUCCCCCCUCUCCGUCCAUCCCUGGGUGUCUCCCCCUGGAAUUCGGGUUUGGGGGGUGUUGGACAGGGCUUGGAGCGCCCUGGGACGGGGGAAUUGUCCCUGUCCUUGGAACGGGACAAGGUUCCUGUUGCUCCACCCAGCCCGCAGCUCCCACCCUGCUGAGGGACCCAAAACUCCACCCAGUUUGACCCAAAAUUUCCCCCCAGUCUGACCCAAAAUUCCCCCCCAGUCUGACCCAAAAUUUCCCUCCAAUUUGAUCCAAAAUUCCCCUCCAUUUUUACCUAAAAUUCCCCCCAACUUGACGCAAAAUUGCCCCCCAAUUUGACUUAAAAUUCCACCCAGUUUGACCCAAAAUUUCGCCCCAAUUUGACCAAAUAUUCCCCUCCAACUGGACCCAAAACCCAGUGAAAUCCCAAAACCCCAGUGACAUCCCUAAAACUCAGCGACACCCCAAAACCCAGUGACACCCCAAAACCCCAAUGACACCCCAAAAUUCCAGUGACACCCCAAAAACCCCGUGAAAUCCCAAAAACCCCGUGACACCCUAAGGCACAGUGACACCCCAAAACCCUGUGAAACCCCAAAACCCCCAUGAAAACCCCAAAAACCCCAUGAAAACCCCAAAACCCCGGCUGUCCUUGCCCAAGGACUUGCAGCUCCCGCCCCGCCGUGGGAUUUUGAGCGUAAAAACCUCGAGAGCAGCGAAGCAAAAAUUCCAUUUCCUGCUGCGGCUGCAGGAAUGCGGGAGCGGAACGAGCGGCGUCAGCAGCGCCAGUUUCCUGGCCACUCGGCUCUUGCUGGACUCAGAUCUGAGGCAUCUGCAGCUCCUCGGAGACGCAAAUCUGGGAAUUGUUUCAGGAAGGAGCCGAGCGGGCACGGAAAGACCGGGAGAACAAGACCCAUCACGUUCCCCGGAUGAUAAUGAGGGAAUGAAAUUAAACCACCUGGGAGACCAAAACUCUCCUUCCUUCCUCCCUUCCUUCCUUCCUCAGCAGCAGCUUCUCCUUCACAGCAGCAAUUCCUGCCUGAGCUAUCACCCGUGGACGAUCCAGAAAUGAAUCACACCCAGAAUUGGGGAACGCAGCUCAGAUAAUUCCUAAAGCUGUGGUUCCAACCCAAUAAAACCCCGUGUAACAACAA